rnacentral:rRNA from 1 species
CCUACGGGUGGCAGCCGUGAGGAAUAUUGGUCAAUGGGCGCGAGCCUGAACCAGCCAAGUAGCGUGAAGGAUGACUGCCCUACGGGUUGUAAACUUCUUUUAUAAAGGAAUAAAGUGAGGCACUUGUGCCUUUUUGUAUGUACUUUAUGAAUAAGGAUCGGCUAACUCCGUGCCAGCAGCCGCGGUAAUACGGAGGAUCCGAGCGUUAUCCGGAUUUAUUGGGUUUAAAGGGAGCGUAGAUGGGUUGUUAAGUCAGUUGUGAAAGUUUGCGGCUCAACCGUAAAAUUGCAAUUGAUACUGGCAGGCUUGAGUACAGUUGGGAUAGGCGGAAUUCGUGGUGUAGCGGUGAAAUGCUUAGAGAUCACGAAGAACUCCGAUUGCGAAGGCAGCUUACUAAGCUGCCACUGACAUUGAUGCUCGAAAGUGUGGGUAUCAAACAGGAUUAGAUACCCGAGUAGUC